ACAAUUUUCAAUAAUCAUUCUUGACAUUUUUCAAUAUUGUUCUCACCUUUCCUCCUACCCCCCUCCCCAUCUCCCACAGAUGGGAGUAAUAUGAUACAGGUUGUACAUGUGUUAUCAUAAAAUGCAUAUUUCCAUGUUUGUCAUUUUAUGAAAGAAGACUCGUAUCACUUACACCAGAGGAAAAUUCAUGAAGGAAAUUAAGUGAAGAAUGGCACACUUCAAUCUCGAUUCAGACUCCAUCAGUUUCUCCUUGGCAGUAAGAUCAAUCCAGAAUUACAGAAUUAGAGGAAAUGGACAAUCCAGCUUCCCUUACCACUUGUGGAACAAAGACAUAGAAAGAAGAAUAAACUGAAUUCUGUCUAAGAUUUCCAAAGAACAAUUAUAGGACAUCUAAGUCAUCACGUGGCUGCAACACCAAAAAAGUCAAGACAGAAGAGAAGAACAGGGUAUGUAAGCCAAAGUCACCACAAGCCAAACCAGACCUGGAAAGACAAGAAGAAUCAUCAUUAGAUAAAGCAGAAGCUGCAAUGGAAGAUGAGUUUUUGGAAGAGACUUUUGCCUUUUCACAGGUUUACUAUCUGUUUCUCAUUUCAAAAUUGGGAAAACUGGUGUGUGUGUGUGUGUGUGUGUGUGUACAAAGGAGGAAGGGAGGUGGGUUAUUUUAUUUUAACACUUUGGAUCUAUAUUAAAAGAUAACAAAAGGUGUAGCUUAAAAGUGCUACUUCAAAAUGUAUAAUCUGGUAUAGGAGAUAUAGUUCAUCAGCUAAUGUUAUGGGUGUUUAUGAAUAGAACAUAAAAUGUAUUAAAGAUAAAAUUAAUGAAUCAUUCAGAAGUUAUGUAUUGAUCAUCUAUAAUUUAUUAAUUUAUUUCAUUCAUCAGAAAUAUAAUAUGGCUUUUAAAUGUUCUUUAUGUGGCAGGAAAUACAAAAUAAAUGCAUGACAUGAACUCUUACUGGAACUGAGUUCAAAUAGAGCCUGGGAAAACCACUUAGGGUAUAUCUGUCUCAGUAUCCUCAUCAGUAAAAUGAGGAUAAUAAUAGUCAUUAUUUUCCAGACUUGUUAUAAGGCAGAAUAAGAUAUUUCCAUAGGGUUUUUCUGGUUAUUACUAUGCAAGAUACUAAAUAAAGCAUAAUAUUAUACUGAAUUGUCAAAAUGAUGUCAAUGAUGUUUUUAAUAUUAUAAGCACUCUCUAGUCUCUAGAAUCAUGGAACUGAAUAAAGCCUCGGAGAACAUGUAGUGAAAUCUCAAGUCUUAAAAGCAAUAAGUUCUACAACAUUUUGAACAAAUUAUUCUUCAACUUUCACUUGAAACCUCCCAGGAAGGAAUAGCCUACUGUCUCCAGAGGUAUCCCAUUCUAUUUCUGGAUAGCUCUAAUUAGUAUGAUUUUUUCCCAUAUGUCAAGUGAAAAGCUGACUCACUGAAAUAUCUACUUAUUGCUCGUAAUGCUUCCCUAUGGGCUAAGCAGAAUAAAUCUCUUUUCUCUUUCAUAUGACAGAACUCUAUCUUCCUCAGGCUCACCAACUCAAAUAAUCUUUGCUUCAAGCUAAACAUCUUUAGCUUCUUUAACGUUUUAUCACAUGGAGUCAUCUCCAUUCCUCCACCAUUUUUGUCAUCUCCUUCUGUAUAAAUAUUGCUAUUUGAAUGAUCUUUCAAAUAUAUGAUCUAGAAUUCACACAGAAUUUCAGAUGUGACCCAGUGAAAGCAGAAUAUAGUAGAUCUAUCACUUCUUAUUUUCUAGACUUAACUAAAUUGAUAUCUAGUUGACAAUUUUUUCAGCCAUUAUUUUGUUUGGUGCUCUCAUUGGUAGCACUGAUCUCUUCAGGUCUCUGUGCUACUAUGGAAGCCCUGUUGACUUCUCAGGACAUUAGGAUUAUUUUGCCAUUAUAUAUUUUUUCAAAUGUUCUGUUCAAUGUACAUUGGUAAUGAAUUUCUUUCCUAUAUCUGUUAAAAUGGAUAUGUGAAUUUAAAGCACAAAGUCAUUUAAUGAAAAGAUAACAGUAGCAUAAAUACUAGAAUGGAGUCAGGACUUAGGUAACAGAUUUUCUGCACUUUACUAAAUCGAUUAAACUACUAUAUCUGAUGAUGUCCACUUAAUCUUGGUGAUGCUAGCUAGGGUGCAUUGAUUUAUUUUUUAGCACCUAACUCAAAGUACUAUUGACUUCUCUACAAACAAGAGACCCCCAAACACUGCCAUCUCUCCCUGGCUCUACUUAAAGACAAGCAAAUAAAUUUAUGUGUAUACAUACAUUUCUUUCUGUGAUUUUGAGCUAGUAGAUUAAUUAUACAUAACUGGUGCAUCUGAUCAAAACAGCAUGACUACUGAUAUAAAUAUGUAUAAUAUACUAAUAUAAUAUAUAUAUAUAGAGAGAGAGAGAGAGAGUUUUUCUCUCUUUUGGGAGAUUUCUAUCAUAUAUGGAAAUAAAUAUAAUGUCAAGUGAGAAAAAAAUUACCUAUCAGUUCGUUUUUGGACAUAAAAAUUCAGUUACUGACAAUUCAUUAGGAGCCAAGCUUUAGUUAAAUGGUGCUAUCAGUUGUUAAUAGCCUGUGGUGCAAUAAGGCUUACUGUGAACAGGUGAUGAUUACAGUACUUAGCACUUCAGGAGAAUGAAAGUAUAGUGACUGUAAUCAUUAUAAAAAUUACUUCUUAAGUGUCAUGCUGUUAAUUACAGUUCAAAGAAUUAGCAUCUGGUUGAAGCUAUGGUUGUAGCUAUGAGGAAUUGGUAUUACAGGAAAUGCAUUUAAAGAACCUUUAAUCACAACAUAAAGUUGUUGUUUUUUUCUUCCUGGUUUCGAAUUCUUCCAUAUAGUAAGUCACACCUGGUGUUUAUGGAAAAAAAAAAAACUUGCAAAGUAAGCUGGUCUGGGUUUCUAUAUUUUCUUUAAAGGAAUUUUCAUAAGUGGAAUUAUUUUCCACACCUUUGUCUGAUAGUUCAGUCUUAGAAGCGUGACUAAGCUUGAAGAUUUAGGUUGAUUUUUACUUCAUUCAUAUUUCAGGUGCAUCCUAGUGAAAGUUUCAUAGUUUGAUUUCCUAAUCAAUAUGUAAAUAAGUUAAGGAAAUUACCAAGUGAAAUUGAAUAGCUGUAACUUGUUCUUCAUAUUGCAUGCUGUUUCUGUAAAUGUGGAACAAGAAUAGUUCUGAGUACCAAUUCAGAUAUCAGUCUGCAUGACUGUGUCCACCAUCUUACUGUAGUUGUACCAUCAUCAAAUAUCUUUUAAUUAUUCUAAUCUUGUGUCUAUGGAGGCAAAUAGGACUAUACUUGUUGGUUUUAGUGAAAUUUACUGCACUACACACAGUAAAAGCAACAAGGUAAAAUGGUCAAUUGUGAAUUACUUAACUAUUAUCAGCAAUGCAAAGAUAGUAGACAACUUCCAGGGACUCAUGGCCAAAAAAAUAGCUAUUUACUGUCA